GUGCUCACUUCGGCGCACAUAAUCUAAAAUUGGAACGAUGAAACACAGAAGAUUAGCAUAGCCUCUGUGCAAGGAUAGUACAUAAAUUUAUGAAGCAUCCCACAUUUUC
rnacentral:snRNA from 1 species